CAUUAUUUGUUGUACAACUGCCCAUGGUAUCCCCGACCAUCACUUUCCAUAAAAUAAAGACAAUGUUUCAAUCGGGUCUUGACUCAAUCUUCAUUAGUGAUCCCGGCUUCAACAAUGAUUCGAAGAGAGGGAAUCUCACUUUUAUUUCAAUUCUUUGUUUAUUUUCUUACAAGGCUUAUCUUCAAAAAAUUAUGCUUCUUCAUUUAUUAUUUCGAAAUUUGACAUCGUUUUUGGAUCUGGGCAUGAAGUCCGCAAGCAUGCCAUGUUAUUAAUUUGCAUCUACAGAACUAAAAAGAGAAUAGGAAAAGUGACAAGAUUAAGAAAGAGACAUUCAUGGAUGAUGAAAUAUUAGUUUUAUUUGUUUGAAAAAAAAUAGAAGGGUUUACAUCAGAAUGUAAGACAGUAAAGUAAAAAUAUUCGGAUGACACACUAAAAUAACUCGAAACGUAGAAAAGAUAGCAAGACCAGCUACUGAGACUUCCGUAUGAUAGGAAAAGUUUCUGGGUUGGUUCCCAUUUUUCUUCAGCCGUGGCAAUGGCUACUAUGGCUUUCAAUGCUUGAUCAAAUUUCGCAUCAUCCAAUCAUCCCGAGUAGUCCAUGUCCUAUUGCUCAAAUCUGGUAAAGUCAACCCCACAUUUUCCUUCAUUUUUUUAUUUUUCACUGCCAAUUUGUCUACUUGCCUUUAUGUGAUCUUGGAUCAACAACAAUGCUGCUUUUUCUAUUUGUUGCGAAGAUGAUUUUACUUCCGAGGGAUCUUGGAAUGUUUGCUUGACUCGCCAUUGCAAACCAACAAAUCGACCACCUUUAAUUAGCUUUUAUUUCAAAAUAACUGGCAUGUUAGAAGAAACACUCUCUCUUCUUCUUUUUUCUUUUGUGUUUUUCCUUUUUUUACCACUUUAUUCUUUUUUCUUAGUUCAAUCAGUCCCUUCCUCAAAACCUAUUUUCGCAAAUGCCACUGCUCUUAUUCCACAAAAUGGGAUUGCUGGUUUCACAUGCCACCCCUUUCAUAUAAAUAAAUGCUUAUUUAUUUAUUUUUCAAAAUGAUUCGGUUGAACCUGGUAUGAGUUGCCUAGGUAUCAUGUGGAGACAUGAAUCA
rnacentral:lncRNA from 1 species